GAUGAACGCUGGCGGCGUGCCUAAUACAUGCAAGUCGAGCGAACAGACGAGGAGCUUGCUCCUCUGACGUUUGCGGCGGACGGGUGAGUAACACGUGGAUAACCUACCUAUAAGACUGGGAUAACUUCGGGAAACCGGAGCUAAUACCGGAUAAUAUAUUGAACCGCAUGGUUCAAUAGUGAAAGACGGUUUUGCUGUCACUUAUAGAUGGAUCCGCGCCGCAUUAGCUAUUUGGUAAGGUAACGGCUUACCAAGGCAACGAUGCGUAGCCGACCUGAGAGGGUGAUCGGCCACACUGGAACGGAGACACGGUCCAGACUCCUACGGGAGGCAGCAGUAGAGAAGCUUCCGCAAUGGGCGAAAGCCUGACGGAGCAACGCCGCGUGGGUGAUGAAGGUCUUCGGAUCGUAAAACUCUGUUAUUAGGGAAGAACAAAUGUGUAAGUAACUAUGCACGUCUUGACGGUACCUAAUCAGAAAGCCACGGCUAACUACGUG
rnacentral:rRNA from 1 species